rnacentral:rRNA from 1 species
GAUGAACGCUGGCGGCGUGCUUAACACAUGCAAGUCGAACGAAGCACUUUAUUUGAUUUCCUUCGGGACUGAUUAUUUUGUGACUGAGUGGCGGACGGGUGAGUAACGCGUGGGUAACCUGCCUUGUACAGGGGGAUAACAGUUGGAAACGGCUGCUAAUACCGCAUAAGCGCACGGCAUCGCAUGAUGCAGAGUGAAAAACUCCGGUGGUAUAAGAUGGACCCGCGUUGGAUUAGCUAGUUGGUGAGGUAACGGCCCACCAAGGCGACGAUCCAUAGCCGACCUGAGAGGGUGACCGGCCACAUUGGGACUGAGACACGGCCCAAACUCCUACGGGAGGCAGCAGUGGGGAAUAUUGCACAAUGGGCGAAAGCCUGAUGCAGCGACGCCGCGUGAGCGAAGAAGUAUUUCGGUAUGUAAAGCUCUAUCAGCAGGGAAGAUAAUGACGGUACCUGACUAAGAAGCACCGGCUAAAUACGUG